rnacentral:rRNA from 1 species
GACGAACGGCUGGUGGCGUGCCUAACACAUGCAAGUCGAGCGGGGUUGAAGCGAGAGGUAACUCGAACUUCUACCUAGCGGCGGACGGGUGAGUAACGCGUGGGCAACCUGCCUCAAGGUCUGGGAUAACAGCCCGAAAGGGCUGCUAAUACCGGGUAUGCUUGUGGCCUCGCAUGGGGCUACGAGCAAAGGGGAAACCCGCCUUGAGAUGGGCCCGCGUCCCAUCAGCUAGUUGGUGAGGUAACAGCUCACCAAGGCGACGACGGGUAGCCGGCCUGAGAGGGUGACCGGCCACACUGGGACUGAGACACGGCCCAGACUCCUACGGGGGGCAGCAGUGGGGGAUCUUGCACAAUGGGCGAAAGCCUGAUGCAGCGACGCCGCGUGAGCGAAGAAGGCCUUCGGGUUGUAAAGCUCUGUCUGGAGGGACGAAGGAAGUGACGGUACCUCCGGAGGAAGCCACGGCUAACUACGUG